GAAGAUUCAAAAUCACGAACCGUUACUGCAUGGACUACUCUCGGUCUCUUUGUUUGCUCAUCGACAUUACAAGAAAUAUAAUGAAGUAACAGUGGAGGCAAAACAUCAGACUGAUCCAGACACUGAAGAAAUUGAUGUCACUGCAAUCUGGCCAAAAUGAUACAACUAUAUUGAACUAGCCUACUGUAAUGAAGCUGCAGAACAACAGAGACUCUGAGGACAUCAACACAGAAAAUGAAGGCUCCAAAGAGAUGUCUGUCCAGAUGAGGGUGCAUCAACUUUACCUUUGCUGACAACAGUUAACUUAACUCAAACCAUUUAAGGAAAUCGGUUGCCUUAACCCAUUAAGUUUUAAAAAACAUACAUUUGAGUACUGUGAACUUAAGUCUUGUGCAAUUAUGCACUUAUAUUUAGGUAGUGUGAACUUAAAUAUAAGUGCAUAACUGCAUGUGACUCAAUUUUUUUAAGUUCACAGUACUCAAAUCUAUGUGUUUUAAAACUUGAAUGGUUUUAAAUGUGAGAAAUUACAGUGUUACAGUGAGAAAUGUUUGAAUAAUUCCAAGACAGAGCUCUGCUAUUGAAUCUACACUGCAAAAAAU